UCUUUGUUAGUAUAUCGGUUAGUACACGCGCUUGUCAUACUGCGUGCGACCGCGCGAAAGCGGGGUUCGACUCCCCGACAGAGAG